rnacentral:rRNA from 1 species
UACGGGGGGAGCAAGCGUUGUUCGGAUUUACUGGGCGUAAAGGGCGCGUAGGCGGCUUAACAAGUCACUUGUGAAAUCUCCGGGCUUAACUCGGAACGGCCAAGUGAAACUGUCAAGCUAGAGUGCAGAAGGGGCAAUCGGAAUUCUCGGUGUAGCGGUGAAAUGCGUAGAUAUCGAGAGGAACACCUGCGGCGAAGGCGGGUUGCUGGGCUGAUACUGACGCUGAGGCGCGAAAGCCAGGGGAGCGAACGGG